rnacentral:lncRNA from 10 species
GGUAGGAUAUUUUUAGAAAUAGUAAAGUUCACAGAAUUUUUAAUGUGUUGAAGGUCUUUAGAAGAUAAGGUUUUUAGGGUUUUUGACAUAAGGAUUUCCUUUGGGUAGACACCCAGCAGUAGAUUGCUGGAUGAAAUGGUAGAUCUACUUUUAGCUCUUUAAGGAAUCUCCAUACUAUUUUUCAUGGGGGUUGUGCUAACUUACAUUCCCACCAGAAGUGUAUACGUGUUCCCUUUUCACCACAUCUGCGCCAACAUCUAUUGUUUUUUGUCUUUUUAAUUAUGGCCAUUCUCAUUGGGGUAAGGUGGUAUCUCAUUUUGGUUUUAAUUUGCAUUUCCCUGAUGAUUAGUAAUGUUGAGCAUUUUUUUUCAU